CUUGGGGAGUGGUCCCUCAGCCUAGAUUGUGAGAUGGCGCAGGCCAGGCCGAGGGACCCCACUGGUGCAUG
rfam:Myotis brandtii contig247508, whole genome shotgun sequence.